CCGCCGGAACCUGGGAGAUCCACGAUGCCGAGUUUGCCACGCUGCGACAGCCCAUAGGCUUGCCCCCCGGGCAUUCGGGUGGACUACGAACACAAACUGAAGCCCUACGACUUGUCGCCCGUUUGCGCUCUCGCCGAGGCACAGGCUGCUCGUGGACCACCCUGCUCCGAAAACUAAGUAACCGGCCUCCAUGAUGUUGAUGAGUAUAUGCAGGCCCAGCUCCUCCUAGCCGCUCUGAACAUUGCUACACAUGUCCUGAAGCCAGGGGGCUGCUUUGUGGCCAAGAUAUUCCGAGGCCGGGAUGUGACACUCCUCUACAGCCAGCUGCAGGUCUUCUUCUCCAGCGUGCUGUGUGCCAAGCCCAGGAGCAGCCGGAACUCCAGCAUCGGUCAGUGGGGUGGAGGGGCCAGGCAGGCAGAGGGGGAUCUCUGGGACGCCGACUGCACAAGGAGGAAGUGGCAGUCACGCCUCACUCCACCUUCCCCCGGCAGAGGCCUUCGCUGUCUGUCAGGGCUAUGACCCUCCCGAGGGCUUCAUCCCGGACCUGAGCAAACCCCUGCUGGACCAUUCUUACGACCCAGAUUUCAACCAGCUGGAUGGUCCCACCCGCAUCAUUGUGCCUUUUGUGACCUGUGGGGACCUGAGCUCCUAUGAUUCGGACCGCAGUUACCCACUGGACCUAGAGGG
rnacentral:sRNA from 1 species